rnacentral:rRNA from 1 species
UAAUACGUAGGGACCGAGCGUUGUCCGGAUUCAUUGGGCGUAAAGAGCUCGUAGGCGGCCACUCAAGUCGAAUGUGAAACCUCGAGGCUUAACCUCGAGCCUGCAUUCGAUACUGGGCGGCUAGAGUCUGGUAGGGGGAUCUGGAAUUCCUGGUGUAGCGGUGGAAUGCGCAGAUAUCAGGAGGAACACCGGUGGCGAAGGCGGGAUCCUGGGCCAGUACUGACGCUGAGGAGCGAAAGCGUGGGGAGCAAACAGGAUUAGAUACCCUGGUAGUCCAUGCCGUAAACGUUGGGCACUAGGUGUGGGGGACAUUCCACGUUUUCCGCGCCGUAGCUAACGCAUUAAGUGCCCCGCCUGGGGAGUACGGCCGCAAGGCUA